UUUAAUAGGACAGAGUCUGCAGACUGAAGACACAGCUGUCUAUUACUGUUCGCAUUACCAAAGUGAAACAAACAAGCCCAAAACUUUUCCAAAAAUCCCAACAGCCAUGAGUAGAAAACAAACUUAAUCAUAUUGUAUUUCCCCGACCAGAAAUACUGGUGUACCAUUGAUAGACGUCUACAUAGUAAAUCAAGUGUGAAAAUAGACCAAAGCAAUUCUCAAAUCAUUCCUCUGUACAUUUCACUCUACAUGAUGUGUUGUAUCUUAUUUGCUCUAUAAGAGGUGUCAAUAAUCAAGAAAAUUCAGAGUUCAUACUAGCUAGCUAUAGUUAACCAUCGUUAUUUCACUGAAAAUAUCAGCAGCAAGUCAUUACAUUCUGAUACUGAUUCGGUGUAUAACUUGUCACAAAGAUACAAGUUUAUUUUGUCCUUUUAUAACUCUUUCACUCUAUGCAAAGCAACUCUCCUCUCUUGUGUAUAAAGAGGAAUAUCUCACUCUCUUUCACUGAGUUCAGAAGUGCAGUUACCAUCAGUUCAGCUUCAACACAAACCAUGUUCCCUGUAUCUCUGCUGUUGGUGCUGGCAGCUGUAUCCUGUGUGUUCUUCAGACUGAACUCACACAGCCAGGCUCUAUGAUCCUGCAGCCUGGACAGCCUCUGACCCUCACCUGUAAAGUCUCUGGGUAUUCUUUUACCAGUACCAGUUACUGUACAGGUGUGAAUCACCAACCUAAAGGAAAAUCAUUAGAGUGGAUUGGAUUUAUUUGUCAAGAUGGUAGACAUAUUACAGUGAUAAACUGAAAAACAAGUUCAGUAUCUCCAGAGACACUUCAAGCAGCACAAUGACUUUAACAGGACAGAGUCUGCAGACUGAAGACACAGCUCUGUAUUAUUGUGCUCGCCAUCCAUACUGAUACAAACCAACACAGAACCGGUACAAAAACUCCAUGACAUUCAUAUGAAUAUAAAGGUAUACAAACACUAAACAUGACACCACAAUACAAACUUAUAUAACAAUUCAAACACAUGUACAUUAUACACAAUUACUGUAUUACUACAAUUUCUUAGCAGUUAUACUCCAUCCAUCAAAUCUGCUCAAAGUAUUAGUGUCACGCUCCCUUCUUCAUUUGUUUGGUGUAUUCUAACUUUAUGUACAGAGAAUUCAGAUGAACUAAUCAUCCCUUCUUUAAGGAUCUCUAUUGAAAAGCUUUCCACAAUUUCAUUCAAUAAAGAUAUCAGGUCACACAGAAACAGCAUAUUUUCCAUAAUUUGGUCAAACCGUAUGAGAAGUAACUAUUCAUGCAUCCAUUCCAUAGUCUAAGAGUUUAUGUUGGAUAAUCUAUUCUGUUUCACACUGGCCCUGCUCUGCUUAUCUCAGUUGUGUCUGUUUCUCUCACACACCCCACCCAUCUCUCUUCCCCCCUGUGACCCUCACAGCUGUGUGUCACCACGCUUUGUUGAACUCCAGCCUGUCACCUGGGUGUUUCUGGGUCCCAGUUUAGCAUCUCUGAUGAUUCAGAUAGACAGUUCAAGCAGUUAAGUAGUCCAGGGACUGUCCCUAAACACUUUCAUGAUCUAAUUCUCACUACCUUGUUUCGGCUGAGGAGAAACUGCCUUUUUGCAUUAGCCAGCUGGUGGCUGGUAACCAUACAAUGUUUCAACCACAUGGACA
ensembl:lncRNA